CUGCCCGCUAGACAUGUACACCUUACCAUCAUUCCAUACAACAAAUAUAGUAGACCUAUUGCAUAUAGUAUGAGAAAAACAGACCAAAACACAAAAAUUUAACUAUAACCACUGAACCAUGAAAAUGAGGUCAAGGUCAGAUGACACCUGCCAGUUGGACAUGUACACCUUACAGUCCUUCCAUACACAGAAUAUACUAGCCCUAUUGCUUAUAGUAUCUGAGAUAUGGACUUGACCACCAAAACUUAACCUUGAUCACUGAUCCAUGAAAUGAGGUCGAGGUCAAGUGAAAACUGUCUGACAGACAUGAGGACCUUGCAAGGUACGCACAUACCAAAUAUAGUUAUCCUAUUACUUAAAAUAAGAGAGAAUUCAACAUUACAAAAAAUUUGAACUUUUUUUUCAAGUGGUCACUGAACCAUGAAAAUGAGGUCAAGGACAUUGGACAUGUGACUGACGGAAACUUCGUAACAUGAAGCAUCUAUAUACAAAGUAUGAAGCAUCCAGGUCUUUCACCUUCUGAAAUAUAAAGCUUUAAGAAGUGAGCUAACACCGCGCCGCCGCCAGUAGCCGCCGCUGCCGGAUCACUAUCCUAUUGUCGAGCUUUCUGCAACAAAAGUUGCAGGCUCGACAAAAAUCAAAAAAU
rnacentral:lncRNA from 1 species